rnacentral:rRNA from 1 species
CCGCGGGAUUAGAGUUUGAUCCUGGCUCAGAAUGAACGUUGGCGGCGUGGAUUAGGCAUGCAAGUCGUACGGGCCGCAAGGCCAGUGGCGCAAGGGUGAGUAAGGCGACGGUAACCAACCCCAUGACUGGGUAUAGCCGCGGGAAACUGCGGGUAAUCCCCAGCGACGUCUCCGGGGGGCAUCCCCUGGAGACCAAAGCUCAGGCGUCGUGGGACGGGCCGUCGUGGUAUUAGGUUGUUGGCGGGGUAAUGGCCCACCAAGCCUGCGAUGCCUACCGGGCGUGCGAGCGCGACCCGGCACACUGGGACUGAGACACUGCCCAGACUCCUACGGGAGGCUGCAGUCGAGAAUCUUCGGCAAUGGGCGCAAGCCUGACCGAGCGACGCCGCGUGGAGGAUGAAGGCCUUCGGGUUGUAAACUCCUGUCGAGGGGAAAGAAGGCCGGGUAACCGGCUUGACUGAUCCCUGGAGGAAGCACGGGCUAAGUUCGUGCCAGCAGCCGCGGUAAGACGAACCGUGCGAACGUUAUUCGGAAUCACUGGGCUUAAAGCGCGUGUAGGCGGGACGGCACGUCGGUCGCUGAAAUCCCCCGGCUCAACCGGGGAACUGGCGCCGAUACGACCGUCCUGGAGGGACGUAGGGGGACCUGGAACUUCCGGUGGAGCGGUGAAAUGCGUUGAGAUCGGAAGGAACGCCCGUGGCGAAAGCGAGGUCCUGGACGUUUUCUGACGCUGAGACGCGAAAGCCAGGGGAGCGAACGGGAUUAGAUACCCCGGUAGUCCUAGCCGUAAACGAUGGGCACUGGGUAGGGGGCUCGCCGAUGGGCUCCCUGCCGUAGGGA